AAAAAAGUGGAUAGCAAACAAUUUAUGGUUGGUGGUUAAUGAGAAAGUUAUUCAAUAAGGCCAUAUACCUUUUAACUAACAACUGCAAUAUACAAAUUUAAGUUACUUUAACAUUAUCUUUUCACAUACAUCAAACAAAAUUUAAUAGUGUGGUGGUCUCCUUAUUUUUCUUGUGUUCUUAUGUUAUUUAUUCUAAAUUUUGAUGUGAUGUAUACAUCAACGAUUUGU
rnacentral:lncRNA from 1 species